CGUGAGGCCUGUAGGAAAGAGCAAAGCCUGAGCUAGAUUACCCCUCCCAUCGAGUGUGCUAAGAUGGCGCCUGCUUCCUGCUUCCUGAUUGAUCAUGCUGCGUAAACAACCCGACCAGCAGAACAGUCUGCCUAGUAACUACUGAAGCUAGCCAACCAGCUUGCAUUACCCGCUUUGAUCUGAUUGGCUGCUGUAAUCGCAUAUAUGCUAGCGCCUCUUCCGCCAGAGGGAGAAGCACGGAAGGAGCCGCGGGGAGCGGACCAACAGAGGCUUCGGCCGGGAGGAUUCCCGGGGCAGACUGUGAAAGGGAGAGAAAAUAAAAGCGCCUUGCCACUGCCAGAUCUUGUCGUGUGUUCUUCCUGCCGGCUGGGAGCGACACCGACAUCUGGUGGCCCGUACGGGGAACUGAUCAGCCCCGAGACGUGGCAGUGGACAGCAGUCUCCAACACAGUGCUGCAGGACAGGGACCGGGACGAGAACCACUGUGGGUCCCAGAGAGGUUGACGCGUGUGACAAGUCCCUCGACUGAAGAUCAGGCCUGUUCCACCAGAGGCCAACCGCAGACCCAACAACAAGAUGAGCCCUAAAAGAACUGCAGGACAAUCCCUUUUUGGGGGCCUGGAACGGCUUGCUCCCCUAUGUGCUACCCUUGCAUACGCAUGGCUCGCUCGCAUGGCCUACGACCGCGUUUAAAAGUGACAGGCUUCCCACAUUCUCCUCCCUAGACAACAACAUGUAGCAGGGUGGGUGAGUCAAUGACGGGUAAGAGCGUGCCUCCCCAGCACGACUCAACCUAAACCAGGCCCUACCCCAUGGCGCACGAAAGCCGCUGGAUCGCUAGAUUCCGCCCCGAAUCUAGAUGCCUCUCCAAAGGGGAUCAUAAGGAGAGACGUGAGCGUAUGCCUAUGUGCACCCAGGUUCCGUCUGACCUAUCCCUGGCCCUGGAAAAAAGGACGAGGGCCUCAAGGCCUUGGUGGACCCUGGGACGGCCGCCCGGGUUCCAACCCAAAGGCCUGCAGUGGGCCUCAGAUACAGGGCGUAGGCCUCUAUGCUCGAUCCAGGACGGGCUGCGAUGCGCUCGUUCUUGUAAAAUAAAAUAGGGGGAGAUAUUGGGAGCCACGGCCGAGCCCGGUCGCCUUACUUGGCGGACAUGAGGCCUGUAGGAAAGAGCAAAGCCUGAGCUAGAUUACCCCUCCCAUCGAGUGUGCUAAGAUGGCGCCUGCUUCCUGCUUCCUGAUUGAUCAUGCUGCGUAAACAACCCGACCAGCAGAACAGUCUGCCUAGUAACUACUGAAGCUAGCCAACCAGCUUGCAUUACCCGCUUUGAUCUGAUUGGCUGCUGUAAUCGCAUAUAUGCUAGUGCCUCUUCCGCCAG